rnacentral:rRNA from 1 species
CUCCUACGGGAGGCAGCAGUGGGGAAUAUUGCACAAUGGGCGCAAGCCUGAUGCAGCAACGCCGUGUGAGUGAAGAAGGUUUUCGGAUCGUAAAACUCUGUCCUAAGGGAAGAAACAAAUGACGGUACCUUAGGAGGAAGCCCCGGCUAACUACGUGCCAGCAGCCGCGGUAAUACGUAGGGGGCAAGCGUUAUCCGGAAUCACUGGGCGUAAAGGGUGCGUAGGCGGCUUAGCAAGCCAGGGGUGAAAGGCAUUGGCUCAACCAAUGUAAGCCUUUGGAACUGUUAAGCUUGAGUGCAGGAGAGGUAAGUGGAAUUCCUAGUGUAGAGGUGAAAUUCGUAGAUAUUAGGAGGAACACCAGUGGCGAAGGCGACUUACUGGACUGUAACUGACGCUGAUGCACGAAAGCGUGGGUAGCGAACAGGAUUAGAUUCCCUGGUAG